ensembl:lncRNA
CCCCCUGGUACCUCGGAUUGAGCUCCACUCCCAGGAACGCGCGCUGACCCCGCCGACCUCCGCGAUCCCCUGGCCCAGAUCUACCCCCUCAGGUCCCCAGGCUCGUCCUGCCUGCACGGCUUGGCUCGUGGGUCCCCUCUUCCUUCCCCACCCUACCCCGCACACUCACGGGCUCUCCCAGGGCAGCGCCCAGGCCCGCGUGCCCAGUGUCUCAGACUGGUUCUGGCCUGGCUGACCUCCCCGACCAGAGGAAGGGCUGGGCCGCUGGCGUUGGGGUACCGACCCCGGCCUCCCCACAACACAGUUCCUGGAAAACUUAAAAAGCGCUUUAGUGAGAUGAGAUGACAGUUCGGUGGAAACCCACAUGCCACAGGCCCGGGCUUCAGAGUGUGUUUCUGGGCGCUCUCUUCAGUUGAGGGGUCGUUUUUGUCCCUUUCUUCCGAAACUUUCCUGUCUUUGAAUGAGCCUGCUCCUGAAACAGGUUCUAACUUUGAGCAAGUUUCAUGGGGCGAAAGUUGGAAACCAUCUAGAGGCUCCUGUUGGAGGGACUAUUAAGGACAUACGGUCACUAACCACGGGGUGGCCAGCGGGUGCCCAAAUGUGACCCCCAACGUGGGGACCUGCAUCUGUAUUGGGAGCAGGUAUGGGAUCCCAAGCCUUACUUGGCUUUUCUGACUUCUGCAGUGACCUUGCUUUGCUUUCAGUAAGGAUGGAGCAGAGCUGGGGGAGGAGGCGUAAACGGCAACAGAAAAGAACCCCAGAAUUUUCAGGACGUUUCCUCCCAGGAGGGGGCUGCCGCUCAGAGCCGGAACCAGUCUGGGUGCUCACGUUCACCAGGGCAGCCCCUCAGCCUGCAGGGCUGGGAAGCACCGUGUCAACAAGCCGAGGGUGAGCGCCUGCUGUUUCCUCCCUCCGGGACACCUCCUCUCCCUCGGAGCUCUGUCCCCGCACCUCGCGGGGGUGACAGCCACGUGGUGCUCUGCGCAGCGACACAGCGUUGGGGUCCCACGUGACUCCUGCUCUGGCCUCGGAACAUCCCCCAACGACGUGCAGCAGAGGGGUGCGUUCUCACCCCGACCCACGGAGCUGCUGCAACCGGGUGAAGGGGCGCUUUCCUAAACGGCUGCUGCCCUCUUCCCCGCCCUCGCCGUGCCCCCCGCCUCGGAGGGUAAUGG